GACGUAGGGGGCGAGCGUUGUCCGGAUUUAUUGGGCGUAAAGAGCUCGUAGGCGGCUCGUUGCGUCGGCUGUGAAAACCCGCAGCUCAACUGUGGGCUUGCAGCCGAUACGGGCGGGCUGGAGUUCGGUAGGGGAGACUGGAAUUCCUGGUGUAGCGGUGAAAUGCGCAGAUAUCAGGAGGAACACCGGUGGCGAAGGCGGCAUCCUGGACCGGUAUUGACGCUGAGGCGCGAAAGCUAGGGGAGCAAACGGG
rnacentral:rRNA from 1 species